GAACCUCCCAUUUAUGUUUCUUCGCCGGGAUCAGUUUGUUCUGUUCCUCCUCCAAUCUAGAUCAAUUCAUCUUCUCUCUCGAUCUUCGUCGGACAAAAGGCAAAGGCGCUCCAAUCGUGAUCACUCCGUCGUCUGUUGCAGUACCCAGACGUCUCGAGCUUUUGAUCUCUGGUGAGAACCGAUGGGUGUCACGUUUAAGAUAUCGAAGACUGGUAGAAAGUUCCGGCCGAUGGUUUCUACUGAAUCGGUUACUCCUGACUUCUCCAGAACAGCUGAAUCCGAAAUCAAUCGUCCUAUCUGAGAAAUCAAAGUUUGGGCUGUUUUGUGUUUGUGAUGGACAUGGGGGAGCAGGGGCUGAAAACAGAAGCUUGGAUGAUCACCAAUAUGAGGGUUGUACAACUACAGCUCUCUUGGUUUGGAAAAGACAGUGAAGAACAUUUAUUCGCACAAUCUGCCAAUCUUGGUGAUUCAACAUAUAAUUUUUUUGGAGCGUUGGACUGUUUUUGUGUUAUGUCGUUGUAACAACACUACAUCAAACUGAGCGAGAUGGAGAAGAACCGCAAGUUGAAUGACCUUCUUGACGCAUUGGACUUCAAUCAAGUUGUCAUAUUUGUGAAGAGCGUUAGCAGAGCUGGGGAGCUGAACAAGUUGUUUAUUGAAUGCAAUUUCCCCUCAAUAUGCAUUCACUCUGGCAUGUCUCGGGAAGAGAGUUUUUAAGGAAGGGCACAAGAGGAUCCUUGUGGCGACAGACUUGGUAGGAAGAGGCAUUGCCAUUGAGCGUGUCAACAUUGUUAUCAACUAUGACAUGCCAGAUUCUGCUGAUACAUAUCUUCACAGGUUGGGAGAGCGGGUAGGUUUGGAACAAAGGGUCUUGCGAUCACAUUUGUGGCAUCAGCUGCAGAUUCUGAAGUUCUUAAUCAGUGAUGGGUUAUGGGAUGUGGUGAGUCCGAAGAAAGCUGUGCAGCUGGUGCUACAGGUAAAAAAAAAAAUUUAUUUCAAAUGGAAGCAACAUGGUUGUACUGCUCUGUCGUAAACUCACGUGUAUGUUUCAGAAAUUUUUUUUUUUAAAUAACCUCAAUGAGGUUUUACCAUUGGAGGAAGAAAAAUUUAAUUAGACUAACAUGGAUUCUAAACUUUUCAAAUCACAAAAUUAAUUACUAAAUUAUUCAUUAGAACCCUUUAAUAGUCUCUAACCAAUAGACUUACUCUUAGAAAUAGUAAUUGAGGUCACGAGUGAAAACAUUAUGCAUUUACAGACUCCAGGGGCGGACCCACCACUAAAGGAGGUGUGGUACAUACCACGUACUGUUUUAAUAUUUUUUUCUUAGUAACUAAAUAAAACUUAGUUUAUCUCUAGCCCAAACUAAGACAAAAAUGAUGUGUUCCACCCAUCUACUAUCUAUCAGCCCAAUUAAAAUAAAUAUUAUGUAUCUCAUAGCCCAACUUAAAAUACAGUUUUCUAUUAUCUAGCCCAACUAACUAUUAUUCUAAUAAUUGAAAACCCUAAUCUUCUUCUUUGAAUGUUACGUGCUUCUCUUUUCAAAACAAAUCUGCACAAAAAUCAGUUCAUACUUCAUUUUUAAUGCUUGUUCUGGUGCCUAUGGAAAAAAAUAUUUUUAAAAACAGUGUGUAUCUGCAUCAAAAACUAAUUUGGAGAAAUUUCCUUCAAGUUUUAGAUGGAACACUUCUCCAUUAUACCUAUAUUUAUAUGAAAGACAAUUCCCUUUUAACAUGUGGGAUAUGGAAAACACAAA